rnacentral:rRNA from 1 species
UGGGGAAUAUUGGACAAUGGGCGAAAGCCUGAUCCAGCCAUGCCGCGUGUGUAAAGAAGGUCUUCGGAUUGUAAAGCACUUUAAGUUGGGAGGAAGGGCAGUAAGCGAAUACCUUGCUGUUUUGACGUUACCGACAGAAUAAGCACCGGCUAACUCUGUGCCAGCAGCCGCGGUAAUACAGAGGGUGCAAGCGUUAAUCGGAAUUACUGGGCGUAAAGCGCGCGUAGGCGGCUGAUUAAGUCGGAUGUGAAAUCCCUGAGCUUAACUUAGGAAUUGCAUUCGAUACUGGUCAGCUAGAGUAUGGGAGAGGAUGGUAGAAUUCCAGGUGUAGCGGUGAAAUGCGUAGAGAUCUGGAGGAAUACCGAUGGCGAAGGCAGCCAUCUGGCCUAAUACUGACGCUGAGGUACGAAAGCGUGGGGAGCAAACAGG